GUAAAUUUUAAACUUAAGGCUAAAGUACCCGAGUUGGAAAAACUCUCCCAUUCAGCUGCAGUAUUUCGGCCUAAAGUUUGAAAUUCCCAUCUCAAAUUCUCUCUUUACUGAUACAUUAUACAGGUAUACAGUAAGCACACAAGCUCACUGAUACACAGGCUCCAAGACAGACAAGUUCAUUGACACACACUCACUGAUGCACACAAAUAGGCUUACCGACAGACAAAACUCUGACUCACACACAAGUUUACCACAGACAUACUCAUUUGUAUACACACACAAGGCUCACUACAGACAAGCUCACUGACACACACAAGCUGACUAAAUAGAAGCUCACUGACACAAGCUCACUAAAUUCAAGCUUACUGACAUACAAGGAUCACUACAGACAAGAUUACUUACACAUACAAGCUCACUACAGACAAGCUCACUGACACACACAAGCAGUGCCAUCUUAACAGCAUUAUGGGCCCCGGGGCAAAGCAGUGCACUGGGGCCCUUCCUACACAACAACUCACAGGAAUAAAAAUUUCAAUUAUCGACAAAAUGAACCUUAUAUUUAUUGGUACCUACUGCUGAGUACAGACACACAGUACACUGAAUACACACACAAAAACACACACAGAGACUGCUGAAUACACACAGAAUGCUGAAUGCACACAGGCUGCUGAAUACAUACAAAAUUCUGAAUACACACAAGCAGACUGCUGAACACAGAGAGACCUAGUGGUGACAAGGUGAAAUUUCUGUCACACAGCACUGUGCUGCCAGUCAUGAAUAAUUUUAAUAACUCCUACUGUCUUACAUCUUUAUGUAAGACACUCAUGCGGUAGCUAUGUGAAACAUUGUGAAGCUUCAAACUACAGGACUGGGGCUGGGGCUGGGGCAGUGACUGUAAGGCAGCUGUAGGCAACCUUUUAGAAGUACUUUGCGAGGAUAAGAUCUUGCAUACCCUUGGCGUGCCAGUCCUAGUUUUUGAGGCAAGGUCACAUGACUGUUAAGGAGAGGCAGUUGGGUUAAGGCCACAGAUUUAGGGGCUAGGGAGUUAAGGAGAUACACAUUUAGGGACUGGGGGGUUUAAGGAGACACAUGGAGUUGCUAGGGGGUUAAU